AGCAACAGACUGAAUGAAAUGUGCUCCGGUGCUUUGUGUGAGGGAAAAAGAAUGAAAAUAAUGGCCAUUCAGGCAAAAUAAGGCUUUUUGGUGCUUUUCAGAAAGCAGUCUUGUUUUCGUUGUUGUCCCUGUGUUCACGUAAUGGCCUUAUCCUUGUCUUUCAUUGAAACAUUCCCAAAGCAAGGAAAACAUCUCACCCUGAACACAGAAGAAUGCAUGCUCUUAAAGUGAUCAGCAGGGAAGACGUGGGCUGGGAGGAUGCUGCACCAGUUGUCUACAGGGCUCCCUGCUCAGAGCAAGUUGAUGGGCAGGAAACCCACUGGAGCCACAGGGGCCUUUGAGACGCACCUCACUAGCCCUGAAGAGAUUCUUCCCUUUGUGUGCAAGAUGCCUCCUCCUCUAUUCUCAGGCCAUCCACAUCCCACCAACCCUGAUGGGCCCAACUGAAAUCCCACCUCCUCAACAAAACCAUCCUUGUGUACAUGUUUCUUCCCAGCUCCACAUUCAGAGACAUCGCAAUGGUAGCUUGAAAUCAAUCACUGUAGGAAUAUUUACACCACAGAAAUUGGCAAACAUUGCAAAUCAGACCCUUAUCUUCGCUGUUGUUUUGCAGGCUGGUUUAUCAGCACAUCACUGCUCAUACCUAAAGCCCCACCACUCGUUUGGCCCCAACAAUUAAAACCAUACUUUGGCCAUGUUUUAUGAUGUGCCCAUGCUUGUCUCUCAGUGGAGACUGUAGGAGGAUCAUCAAGUUAUUUGUAUCUCCACAGCAUCAUCAUGGUACCUCGUAAAUAGCAAGUAUUGUCCAAUAUCUGUAUCUGUCAAUGUUGUCCGUUUCAUCUAUUAAUAUUUGGGGUGUACUUUUUCCCUAAAAGUUUUCAGAUGAUAUCCAAUUGGCUAUAAGUGAAUGUUUCAAAGAGCUACUUGUCUGUCAUGCCUUUCUUCAUUCAACCAUUUAUUUAUACCAGUGAGCAUUUGCUAUGUGUCAGGCAUUAGUUCAAAGGCAAGAGUACUCAGAGGUAAUCAUAACAUAGGAGGUCUCUGCCCUAGGGGAGCUCACAUUCUAGUCAGGAGAGACAGAAAAUACACAAGUAAACAAAUCCACAAAGAAAUUAGAAACAGUCUGAUAGCAGCAAAGGAUACAAAAAGAAGAACCCAGAAGGAUGGAAUAGAGGAGCUGGGGCAUGGGUGGGGCACAGUCUCAGGUUGGGAGGUAUAUUGAUUUCCUAUUGCUGCUAUAACAAAUAACCACAAAUGUUUUGGCUUAGAACAAUAUGAAUGUAUUCUGUCAUUGUCCUAGAGGUCACAAGUCUAAAAUUGGUUGUGAUAUGGUUUGGAUUUAUGUCCCGGUCCAAAUCUCAUGCUGAAUGAUAACCCCCUUUGUUGGAGUAGGGGCCUAGUGGGAGGUGAACAGAUUAUGAGUGGAUUUCCCUCUUGCUAUUCUCACGAUAGUGAGUGAGUUCUCAUGAGAUCUGGUUGUUUAAAAGUGUGUGGCAUCUCCCCCUUCACUCUCUCUCUCUCCUGCUCCACCACGUAAGACGUACCUGCUUCCCCUUCACCUUUUGCCAUGAUCGUAAGUUUCCUGAGGCCUCCCCAGCCAUGCUUCAUGUACAGCCUGUGGAACCAUGAGCCAAUUAAACCCCCUCUCUUUAUAAAUUACGCAGUGUCAGGUAGUUCUCUGUAGCAAUGUGAGAAAGGACUAACACAGGUUGGAGUCCUGCAUUCCUUCUGAAGGCUUCAGGGAAGAAUCGUAUCUUGGGCUUUUCCAGCUCCUGGAAGCCACCUGCAUUCCUUGGCUCAUGGCCCUGCAUCUCUCCAAUUUCUGCUUCUGUCAUCACACCUCCCUCUCUGACUCCCC
rnacentral:lncRNA from 10 species